CCUACGGGAGGCAGCAGUAAGGAAUAUUGGACAAUGCUCGCAAGAGUGAUCCAGCCAUGCCGCGUGCAGGAAGAAUGCCCUAUGGGUAGUAAACUGCUUUUGAACUAGAGAAAACCCCAGUACGUGUACUGGGCUGAUAGUAUAGUUAGAAUAAGCAUCGGCUAACUUCGUGCCAGCAGCCGCGGUAAGACGAAGGAUGCAAGCGUUAUCCGGAUUCAUUGGGUUUAAAGGGAGCGUAGGUGGACUGAUAAGUCAGUGGUGAAAUCUCCGAGCUUAACUCGGAAAUUGCCAUUGAUACUGUUGGUCUUGAGUACAGUUGCUGUGGGCGGAAUAUGACAUGUAGUGGUGAAAUACAUAGAGAUGUCAUAGAACACCGAUUGCGAAGGCAGCUCACAAAGCUGUAACUGACACUGAGGCUCGAAAGUGCGGGGAUCAAACAGGAUUAGAUACCCUGGUAGUCCGCACCGUAAACGAUGAUUACUCGCUGCUAGGGGGCAACCUUUAGUGGCUUAGCGAAAGCGAUAAGAAUCCACCUGGGGAGUACGCCGGCAACGGUGAAACUCAAAGGAAUUAGACGG
rnacentral:rRNA from 1 species